rnacentral:lncRNA from 1 species
CUUACCUGGCAUCCUGUGGAGUAGAUGGAGUAAAAGUUGAUGUGCAAAACAUUAUUGAAACCCUUGGUGCUGGUCAUGGUGGUAGAGUUUCUCUUACUCGCAGCUAUCACCAGGCAUUAGAGGCCUCAAUCGCACGGAACUUCCCUGACAAUGGAUGCAUUUCCUGCAUGUGUCAUAAUACUGAUGGGAUCUAUAGCUCCAAGCAGACUGCAGUGAUUAGAGCUUCCGAUGACUACUACCCACGGGACCCAGCUUCCCAUACCAUCCAUAUUUCUUCUGUCGCUUACAACACUCUUUUCCUCGGAGAAUUUAUGCAGCCUGACU